GUGAGGAAUAUUGGACAAUGGGCGCAAGCCUGAUCCAGCCAUGCCGCGUGCAGGAAGACGCAUCUAUGGUGUGUAAACUGCUUUUGUACGGGAAGAAACACUCCCUCGUGAGGGAGCUUGACGGUACCGUAAGAAUAAGGAUUGGCUAACUCCGUGCCAGCAGCCGCGGUAAUACGGAGGAUCCAAGCGUUAUCCGGAAUCAUUGGGUUUAAAGGGUCCGUAGGCGGUUUAAUAAGUCAGUGGUGAAAGCCCAUCGCUCAACGAUGGAACGGCCAUUGAUACUGUUAGACUUGAAUUACAAGGAAGUAACUAGAAUAUGUAGUGUAGCGGUGAAAUGCUUAGAUAUUACAUGGAAUACCAAUUGCGAAGGCAGGUUACUACUUGUGGAUUGACGCUGAUGGACGAAAGCGUGGGGAGCGAACAGGAUUAGAUACCCCUGUAGUCC
rnacentral:rRNA from 1 species